rnacentral:rRNA from 1 species
UCCUGGCUCAGGAUGAACGCUAGCUACAGGCUUAACACAUGCAAGUCGAGGGGCAGCAUGAUCUGUGCUUGCACAGAUGAUGGCGACCGGCGCACGGGUGCGUAACACGUAUCCAAUCUACCCAUAGCCCGGGGAUAGCCUUUCGAAAGAAAGAUUAAUACCCGAUGGCCUCACGGAAAGACAUCUUUCAGUGAGUAAAGAUUCAUCGGCGAUGGAUGAGGAUGCGUCCGAUUAGCUUGUUGGCGGGGCAACGGCCCACCAAGGCGACGAUCGGUAGGGUUCUGAGAGGAAGGUCCCCCACACUGGAACUGAGACACGGUCCAGACUCCUACGGGAGGCAGCAGUGAGGAAUAUUGGUCAAUGGGCGAAGGCCUGAACCAGCCAAGUAGCGUGAAGGACGACGGCCCUACGGGUUGUAAACUUCUUUUGCAGGGGAAUAAAGUGCGGCACGCGUGCCGCUUUGUAUGUACCUUGCGAAUAAGCAUCGGCUAAUUCCGUGCCAGCAGCCGC